GAGGAGCCAACUACGACGGGAAAAGACCCGAAUUGUAGUUGCAUAAUGGGUCCAUACUUGACGGAGAGAUCGUGGAUGGAUCGGUGAGGAAGGCUGCCAAUAAGGUUUAAAUUUCCGAUGAUCGGCCAUGGUUUUGGGCCUGGAGGUAAGUUGAGUUUCCUCUGCCGAAGAAAUUUGGAGAGAAGCAAAAGAAACAGAGUAGCAAGAAAUAUUGCAGCAUAUGCAGUCCAGGUAGUACCUUCCAUUGUGUUGAUUGUACUUUUGGUAGUUGAUUUUGGUUGGAAGAAGAGUG